CAACUAUACGGCGAAACUGCGAAUGGCUCAUUAUAUAAGUUAUCGUUUAUUUGAUAGCACCUUACUACUCGGGUAACCGUGGUAAUUCUAGAGCUAAUACGUGCUGAAAAUCCCAACUCCGGAAGGGAUGUAUUUAUUAGAUUAAAAGCCAAUGCCCUCUGGGCUCUCUGGUGAUUCAUGAUAACUGCUCGAAUCGCACGGCCUUGCGCCGGCGAUGGUUCAUUCAAAUUUCUUCCCUAUCAACUUUCGAUGUUUGGGUAGUGGCCAAACAUGGUUGCAACGGGUAACGGAGGGUUAGGGCUCGACCCCGGAGAAGGAGCCUGAGAAACGGCUACUACAUCCAAGGAAGGCAGCAGGCGCGCAAAUUACCCAAUCCCGACACGGGGAGGUAGUGACAAUAAAUACUGAUACAGGGCUCUUUCGGGUCUUGUAAUUGGAAUGAGUACAAUUUAAAUCCCUUAACGAGGAACAAUUGGAGGGCAAGUCUGGUGCCAGCAGCCGCGGUAAUUCCAGCUCCAAUAGCGUAUAUUAAAGUUGUUGUGGUUAAAAAGCUCGUAGUUGAACCUUGGGCCUGGCUGGCCGGUCCGCCUCACCGCGUGCACUGGUCCGGCCGGGCCUUUCCCUCUGCGGAACCCCAUGCCCUUCGCUGGGCGUGGCGGGGAAACAGGACGUUUACUUUGAAAAAAUUAGAGUGCUCCAGGCAGGCCUAUGCUCGAAUACAUUAGCAUGGAAUAAUGAAAUAGGACGCGCGGCUCUAUUUCGUUGGUUUCUAGGACCGCCGUAAUGAUUGAUAGGGACAGUCGGGGGCGUCAGUAUUCAACUGUCAGAGGUGAAAUUCUUGGACCAGUUGAAGACUAACUACUGCGAAAGCAUUCGCCAAGGAUGUUUUCAUUAAUCAGGAACGAAAGUUAGGGGAUCGAAGACGAUCAGAUACCGUCGUAGUCUUAACCAUAAACUAUGCCGACUAGGGAUCGGGCGAUGUUAUUUUUUGACUCGCUCGGCACCUUACGAGAAAUCAAAGUGCUUGGGCUCCAGGGGGAGUAUGGUCGCAAGGCUGAAACUUAAAGGAAUUGACGGAAGA
rnacentral:rRNA from 1 species